rnacentral:lncRNA from 1 species
AAAAUAAGUAUAAUAUGUGUCGAGCCCAUUAGAUUAAUACAUAUAACUCCAAAUGACUUAUUCGAUGUAAUAAGUAAUAAAUAUGUGCUCAAAAAGAAAUUAAAACUGCAUGAACUCACAAAAUGAGUCAUACAAUUGAUUAUGGUACGUGAUUCAACUCGACAGAUCAACCAGCUCCAAUUGCUGCUCCAACUCAACUACUACAUGCUAAGAAAAAGGAUGAUAUAAUAUAUGAGUUUGUAUCACAGUGAGUGGACAGUUUACAAAUUAGUAUAUUUUCCCAUUUGUACAUUUUUGCUGAAAAAUCUUAUUUAUUCUAUGACAACUAGUAAAAUCAUUUAUUCUUUAUUCUAAAUAAUCAACUGUAAAUUAUUUUAAAUAUAAGUAAUCUGAUAUCAAUAGAAAUUUGAGUAAAAUGGUCAUUUCACAAUUCUAUAAUGUAAAACAUUUAUUUUUUAAAUUGAGCAACUAAAAUCUAUAAUUUGAAAUCCGAUAAACUAUAAUAAUGUAGAAAAAUAAUACCAAACGGUACCUGAAAUAACCAUACCCAUGUAUCCAUUAAUAUCAAUGUACAUAGAAAGGUUAUUCAUAAUUUGAAAAUUCUUAAAUUCUGAAAUAUUGUAAUUAUGUAAUUCUAGUCAUAUGCGAAGUAGAAUUGUCUAAAGACUAUAAUAUGAUCAUACACUUUGAAAACACAUUCACACUAGUGCAGACUGGAUAAAAUCAUGUGGAUACUUUCUAAUAAUUUUAAAACUAACUUUUAAUGUACUGAAAUAUUUAAUACCGACAUAAUAUACAAAUGAAAUGACUUAGCUGAUUGUGUUUAACUUUAAAAAGAACUAUUUAUUUACAAAAAUUUUAUUUUAUUUUGAAAAUCAUGCUGUCUAAGUCAAUUAUCUAACAUAAGUACCUUUUGCAACUAAUAUGAUUUAAGGCAAGCACUAUAAUAAAUAAAGAUUUCAUAUAAUUAGCUUUAGAACUAAUAUAAAUUAAAUUAGUGAUUAUUUCUGAAGAAGUGAUUUUUUCUAGUCACACAAAUGAUUGCAACGAACUAGGUGGGCAGGUACAAUUUUUCCACUUCUAUGCUGGCUCCUGAAAUAAUCACUUGAUAUUGUAAAAGAAUAGGAUAUGAAAGAAAAUCCAAUUCAUCUCCUACUCUUCGAUAGCUGGCAAUUGCUACUCUUUAUUUUAUUUUUCUUUCUUCUUGUUUCCCUUUUUUCUCUUUUUCGGUUUCUCUCUGCUUCUAAUUUCUUCCAUACCCAAUUAGAAAAUGUAUCCAUUUUCCUUUUAUGUUAAUACAUUAAUGUUGUAUAAUUACAAGUCAAGUUCUUAAUCUUCAUAUAAUUAACUUUCAGCCCUUUAACUCUAAAUAUAGAAACUAAAUCUCUAAGUUCCUUUAUUAUAUUAUCUGUAACCCUUAAGUACGUGUAAUUAUAAUAUAGGCCUCAUGAAAAUUAUUUGUUUAAGUCCUCAUUUACUUUGAGUUUGAACAAACACUCUCUUGACUUUGACUAAAAAUAAGUAGGGUGUAAUAAUCUUCUUCCUUAAAAAGAAUUUCAUCCUUGAAAUUCAAUAAGCUAAAAUUCGAAAACAUAAAGAUAUAGCACAUACAUCUAAUCCUUGCUCUCUUUUGUAGCCUCUUCUCUUCAUGGUUCCUCUAGAGGACUAAAACUAGUAAACUUAUCUUGAUUGGCAAAACUUCCUCGGAGUCUUGCAUUUCCUACAUUUUCUAAUAGAUCUGACCAUUGUUGGCCCCUGAAGUUUUAACUCUUUCUGCUAAGAAAUGUGCUUCACCUUAUAUGAUCUAUAAAUAUCUAACAUUCCUUCCCAUUUCUUUAAUGCCUCCAAAUAAUCACUUCAUCUUCUUGACCUGACUUUGAUUCCAUUCAAGUUGAGGAGAGCUCGAAUGAUUUUAGCGGUGAAUGGACAGUUCGCUGGCCACCUGGACAGCGCUCAAGCGGAUGGAAUACCCAGUGAAACCCUAGAUUUCGAUUUUGAGACUUUUUACAAUGUCAAACAACCUCAAAUAAUUCAUAUUAUAAAUACCCAAGCCAUAGUUCAUCCCUAUUAUAUGUUGAGCCUAUUUUCAUGCAAGAGAACGUCCUGUUGAAGAUCCAUUACACAAUCUAUAGUUCUCUUGACUCCAAAGAGAAAAACCUCUGAGCCAAUUUCACAAUUUGUAGACUGGAAAUGAUGAGGCCAAGAAAAACAAAAUGCUUAAGAUUGAAGGGAGAAGGGGGAUAUUCUAUACAUCUUCACUUUCAAGAACAAAACCACUCACUUUAGAUCCAGAGUAAUAACACAAAUUUACACAAGGAAACACCAAAAACCAAAUAGAUAGAAAUAUUGGCUGAAUUAAAUUUCUCAAGACAGUCUACUAUAACAAAUGUGUGACUUUCGUGUAUCUUUAUUGGUUUUGCCCUUUUACUAUUCUUCUUUUACUAUAAUGCAAUGUGUGCUUGAUUUUUAAUAUAAUUUUUGUUGGUUUUCAGCUGUUAUCUAAUUCAAUAAUGAGAGACCUAUUAUGUUUUUCUCUGUUUGGCUUACAUUAAUCAGCAUAAUAGUAGUCAAUAUUUUAUUUUAGAAACUCAGAUUGUAGCUCAUAUUAACACUUAAUCUGCCUGCUAAAUUCGCCCCAGUUUACAAACACAGCUACACUAUCUAGAAUCACAUAUGACUCGCGUUAACUGUAACUAAACAAAUAAUAUGAAUAAAACCUAAAAACCAAGAAAGGCCCAAAAAUAAUUCACCGCAUAUCAAAUAUACAAUCACUGAUUAUUCAAUUGAAGUUCUAAACUAGCAAAGGAGAAAACACAAACCCUUACAAACCCAUUGAAUAUUAAUACGCUUCUCAACGUGAGUACAAAUAAAUCAAAACGAAUGAUUAAUAUCGUAAAAAUUUACAGAGAGGUUUUCACAGGUGAGAACAGAUAGAGAAAAAUGGCGAGCAAACAGGUCCCAGACAGAAGACAGAACAAUAACUGCAGGGCGACUUACCGGAGGUGGAAAUGAGAAGAGAUAGGCCGGGCGAGAGUAAAAAUGAACAGCAGUCGGCAACCAGCAAUUGAACGAUGUGAGAGAGAAUAAAGCAGCGCGAUCAUGGAUUGAACCAGUCUCUGAUCGACUGGAUCACUGAUUAAAUGGGAAAAGGGAAAGGCUAUCGGAGGAGGAAAGAAGGAUUUGGCGGAAAAAAAAAACUAAAGAGAGAGCUAAGAAAACGAAUGGAAAAAUGAAAGAAAUGGAAAAGAAAAAAGAAAAGGAAAAAAAUAUGGCAAGAUUUUUAACGAC